CCCACUUAUAAAUGCAAGGUUCCUCUUUGUUCAUAACAAAGAUAUUGUUCAAAACGUAUAUUCCAACUCUAGGAUGAUAGUGAAAUAGGCUUUAUAGGUCUCUACCUUUUCGUCUGCGCUACUCUGAUUAUUUUGAAAAAUCCAUUCACACCUAAUGGGUUUUAUCCUUUCAGGUGAAUCAUCUAGUGUCUAUACACUAUUGAUUUCUAUGGACUUCAAUUUGGAUUUAAUGGCUCCAAGCCACUUCUCAGAGUUAAACCACUGUAUUGCAUCCCUAUAGGUGAUCAGAUCCUUAUUAAUCUCAACGAGAUCAACAAGAUUGCCGUCCCAGACCUAAACACUGAAGUGUCUGUCCGACUAACGUGAUACUCU
rnacentral:lncRNA from 1 species